GCUUUGUCUUUGCAAAUUUCCCAUUUAACUCAAAAAACACACAUUUUCUCUUCACGAAUCCCCCAUUUAACCUGCAAAUCAUGCAUUAUAUCUUGAGAACCCCUAUUUUACCUGAAAAUGACGCAUUUUCUCUUCGCGAAUCCACCGUUUAACCCAAAAAAUUACAAGUUUUCUCUUCCACAACCUCCUGUUUAACCCGAAAAUCACGAGCUUUCUCUUCGAGAAUUUCCAAUUUAACCCGAAAAUCACGCAUUUUCUCUUCGAGAAUCCCCCAUUUGAGAGAAAAUCUCUCUGAGAAUUUCCCAUUUAAGUGAAAAUCAUGCAUUUUCUCUUCGAAAAUCCCCCAUUUAACCCUAAAAUCACGCGUUUUCUCUUCGUGAAUCCCCCAUUUAACCCAAAAAUCACGCGUUUUCUCUUCGAGAAUCCCCCAUUUAACCCGAAGAUCACGCGUUUUCUUUUCUGAAAUCCCCCAUUUAACCCCAAAAUCACACGUUUUCUCUUCAAGAAUCCCCCGUUUAAGAACAUAAAUACCUGGUUUCUCUUCAGAAAUCCCCCAUUUAAAAGAAAUUCACGCAGUUUCUCUUCGGGAAUCCCCCAUUUAACUUGAAAAUCACGCGUUUUCUCUUCGGGAAUCCCCCACUUAACCCCAAAAUCACGCGCUUUGUCUUUGCAAAUUUCCCAUUUAACUCAAAAAACACACAUUUUCUCUUCACGAAUCCCCCAUUUAACCUGCAAAUCAUGCAUUAUAUCUUGAGAACCCCUAUUUUACCUGAAAAUGACGCAUUUUCUCUUCGCGAAUCCACCGUUUAACCCAAAAAUUACACGUUUUCUCUUCCACAACCUCCUGUUUAACCCGAAAAUCACGAGCUUUCUCUUCGAGAAUUUCCAAUUUAACCCGAAAAUCACGCAUUUUCUCUUCGAGAAUCCCCCAUUUGAGAGAAAAUCUCUCUGAGAAUUACCCAUUUAAGUGAAAAUCAUGCAUUUUCUCUUCGAAAAUCCCCCAUUUAACCCUAAAAUCACGCGUUUUCUCUUCGUGAAUCCCCCAUGUAAGCAAAAAUCACGCGUUUUUUCUUCUAACAUCCCCGAUUUAAGCAAAAAUCACGCGCUUUCUCUUCGAGAAUCCCUAAUUUUACCCGAAAAUCACGUGCUUUCUCUUUGAAAAUCCCCCAUGUAAGUGAAAGUCAUGCGUUUUCUCUUCGAGAAUUUCCCAUUUAAGUGAAAAUCAUACGUUUUUUCUUCCAAAGCUCCCAAUUAAGAGAAAAUCACGCGUUUUCUUUUUGGAAAUACCCAUUUAAGCCAAAAAUCACGCGCUUUCUUUUUGAGAAUCCCCCACUUAACCCAAAAAUCACGCAUUUCCUCUUCGGAAACCCCCAUUUAUGCAAAAAUGCCACGUUUUCUCUUCAGAAAACCCCCAUUUAACCCGAAUAUCACGUGUUUUCUCCUCGAGAAUCCCCCAUUUAAGCAAAAAUCACGCGCUUUCUCUUUGAGAAUACCCCUUUUAAGCGAAAAUCACGUCUUUUCUCCUUGGAAAUCCCCCAUUUAAGCAAAAAUCACGCUCUUUCUCUUUGAUAAUCCCCCAUCUUAGCUGAAAAUCACGUGUUUUCUCUUCGAGAAUCCCCCAUUUAAGCUGAAAAUCACGCAUUGUCUCUUCGCAAAUCCCCCAUUUUACCCGAAAAUCACGUGUUUUCUCUUCGAAAAUCCCCCAUUUAAGCCGAAGACCAUGCAUUUUCUGUUCGAGAAUCCUCCUUUUAAGUGAAAAUCACUCGCUUUCUCUUCGAUAAUCCCCCAUUUUAGCUGAAAAUCACGUGUUUUCUCUUCAAG
ensembl:lncRNA